rnacentral:rRNA from 1 species
ACGCUCGACACCUACGGGAGGCCGCAGUGGGGAAUAUUGCACAAUGGGGGAAACCCUGAUGCAGCGACGCCGCGUGAGCGAAGAAGUAUUUCGGUAUGUAAAGCUCUAUCAGCAGGGAAGAAACUGACGGUACCUGACUAAGAAGCACCGGCUAAAUACGUGCAGCAGCCGCGGUAAUCUGAGCGGGCUGGCAAGGC